GAGCCCCCAUGUGGUUGCUGGGAAUUGAACUCAGGACCUGUGGAAGAGCAGUCAGUGCUCUUAACCGCUGAGCCAUCUCUCCAGCCCCACAGUGUUUCUUCAAAGGCUCUGCCACUUUCUUAUUCCAGCCCCGCAGCUAUCUCUCUGUGUGUGUCCUGGCCCUUGACUAAAUGUCCCUGAAGCAGAGAUAGCCCCUUGCAUAAAGCAUGGUGGCGCUAGCCUAGCCUCAGUAUUUGCCCAAUGGCACUGCACUGAACUGGAAGACCCAGAACAUUUCAUUUGGAGGAUACUUGCCCACACUGUCACCUCUCUCUCUGUUCCCGCCUGUUUUUUGAUAGCUGGUGUUUGGAUGAUUUCCUAUGAUCACCCUUGGUUUAGUAUUACCCUUCAUCGGCAGGCUAAGCAGAGUAUGUGGAUGGGGAUGGCUCAUCAGGAAAGCGUUUGACGCUCUUUCAAAUGUGUGAAGAUGUCUGUCUAUUCUAGCAUGGAAAGAGGCUGAGGCACUGUGGGAAUGUGAGGCGUCUGCUGGGGGCACAGGUGACAGAGGAAGUUAGAAGAGGAACAGGGAGCCCCAGAGGAAGAAUGAUGUGGGGUUUCCCCAGGGCUGGCCUUGGAAUCGGGUGUCUGAACUCCAGGCCUGUUCUCUGACUGGGCCUUCCUCUGCCUUUGACCUGAGAAGGGUGUAAAAUGUUCACCCAGACUUGUAGGGCCCUUGUGUCUCGGCAUCCCAGGAAACCUUAGCAAUGAGGCACAGGUGACCAUACCAAACCCCUCAUCUGUGGGAUGCUCUCUGCUUCCAGAGAGGAAAACAAAACAAAACAAUGAAAACCCAAAACCACAGCAAUCAUGGGUACUUUACACAUCACAGCUGCUCAGGGAUUUCUCUGCCCCAUUACCCCAGGGGAACAUUGUUGCCCCUAGUGGCUUCUCCUGGAAAUGACAACUGAUUUGGCUUGGUUUUGGGGAACCUUGGGCAAGCCCUAUGCCUGUUCUUUUGGAGGAGACCCACAAGGCCUUGCAAUCUGAGGGCUGGCUGACAUCCUGGCAGAGGGUCCCUGAGUUGGCCUAACAACCUUCUCCCAGCCUGCCCCUGGGAGCUACACAUGAAGGUUGAUUCAUGCACACAAUUGCUUCCCUCAGUUCCCUUCCUCAAAGUGCUUCACUCUGUGCCUGGGUGUCCCCGAAGCCCACGUGAGUGGGCAGUAGACACUCAAGGUUAGUCCUUGUAAAUUUUUUCAUAGUUAGGGCAGUUUCUCCCCAACCACAGCCAGUUUCUACCAGCCCAGCCCACGCCACUUAGUCAGAGGUCACAGACCUGGCUCCUGGUGUGUGUGUGUGUGUGUGUGUGUGUGUGUGUGUGUGUGUACCCACUUGUCAGGGCAGGUGACUGUCCCAACCCGUCUCAUUAUGCCACUCCUUGUUCAGCCCAGGAACGCCACAGCUCUAAAUCAUUAUUUCCAAUUUUAUUAGCCAACCCUGACUUUCAGGAAGUUCUUUCUCAUCUCUGUCCUGCAUUUGUCUUGCCCAAGCUUAAUGUCCCUAUGCUCUGGGGAAUCCCUUCUUAUUAGAGGCUCUCCUGUGAGUAAGUGGCAUCAUAGGUCAUUUUAGUGAGCAGUCAGUCAUUCUCAGAAGGUUCUCAUACCUUCCCUCAGAGACCAGGUCCUCAGUGGAAUUCCCGUGGGCUGCUGGUGAGGCCCAGGGGACCACCCUGUGUGUCAGGAACUGUUUUCGAGGACUGUGGAAUAGGCAGUGACUGGUUUACUCUCUCCUCACCAUCCCUAAUGAGGCCGCCUCUGUUGCUCUUACCCUGUAGAUGCCAGACUCAGCUUCAGACGUGAACUGGCCUGACUGAAGUCACAAAGGCAGAGUAGAAGGCGCAGUGAUUCAGUCCUUACAUCAAACAAGGUGUUAGCGUGAGGUCCAACCUCAGGCUCCUCAGAGGAGAGCGCUGUGAGUGCGAGAGACCAGCCUCCAGUUUGGGGCUGUGGUAAUCCUCUCCGUCUGCCUAAGCCUCCCUCCCUCACAGUCCUUGCUGUUCCUGUGUUCACUGGUUGAUUGUUUUUAGGGUGCAAAAGGCCAGGUGUGGUGACAUGUCCCUAAGGAGGCGGGGUGGAUUGAGUCCAGCAAUUCAAGACUAGCCUGUUGUCUGGGCAGCAUAACAGGCCCAGCAUAACAGAGCAAGAUGAAGGGGAGGAGGGGGAGGAGGGAGAGGAAGAGGGAGAGGAAGAGAAUGAAGAAAAGAGGAGGAGGAGAAGCAGCAGCAACAGCAGCAACUGCUAUAAAUGUGGCAGUAAGCACCUGGAAUCCCCACACUUGAGGUGGGAGUAGCGAGAUCGUGAGUUCAAGGUCACACUCAGCUCCAUAGUGAAUUCAAGGUGUGCCUAGGUUCGAGAGGCUGUCUCAAAAGGGGAAAAAGUUCAAAAGGAAACGGAAUUGGAGUAUGCGCACUGCACACAGCCCCAGAGGCUUAGUGUGGCUUGCUGUCCUGUGUCAGGAUAUCAGGGUGUCUGUCAGAGGCUCCACUUAGUAGGAGGCUCUCUUUCCUUUUCUCUCUUUUGUGGUGCUGCGAGUUACAACCCAGGGCUUUGUACGUGUAAAGUAGUUGACCACUGAACUUCACUUCCAGUUCAAGAGUUCAGGAAGCCUUUCAUAGAUACUUAAGUGUGUGUGUGUGUGUGUGUGUGUGUGUGUGUGUGUGUGUGUGUGUGUGUGGUUAUUUUUAUUUAUUUUCCUUGAGACAGGGUCUCUCACUCUCUCUCUCCAUUGCCCUGGCUGUCCUAGAACUCACUGCUUGAUACCCCACCUAAAACAAACAAACAAACAAACAAACAAACAAAACCAAAAGAACCCACGUAGGCAUCACUGUCCUAUAAUAUGAGGAAAUGGACUCAGAAAGGUCAUCAAACAUUUGUAGGAUGACAAUGUUAGCAAGAGCAAAAGACAGAAUUUCAAUUCAAAUUCCUCUCAUUCCUAACUCUUUUUUUUUUUUUUGGUUCUUUUUUUCGGAGCUGGGGACCGAACCCAGGGCCUUGCGCUUCCUAGGUAAGCGCUCUACCACUGAGCUAAAUCCCCAACCCCUUCAUUCCUAACUCUUAACUACUACUUAGCUACUGUGUGGGAAAUGAACAGUUUGUACACAUAAGCUGACCUCUGAGGAAACACCAACUAGAGCUAAUUACCUAGCGGGGCAGGGCAGCCCCAUCUAUAUAAACCCAGCACGCUAGAGACACGGAGGCAACGGAAUCUCAUUCAAGGCUAGCUUGGGAUACAUAAGUGAGAUUCUGUCUGCAAAACCAACCAACCAAAGCUUGGUGGCUUUGCUUCAGCCCAAAGUUACAGACGUGGAACUCCCAAGGUCUUCACAAGGGAUAUUGAUGCCUACUCAGAUUUACAAACUGGGCACCAUGCUGUGUCUCUGUAAUCCCAACUCCUAGGAAGGCUAAGGCAGGAGGGUGGGGAGUUACAGGUCACGGUAGGCUAUAUCAUAAGAUCUAAGCCAGCCAGGGCUAUAUGGCAAGACCAUGUUUUUAUAAACAACUUUUUAAAAAAUUUAUUUAUUUAUUUAUAUGAAUAUACUGUAGCCGUCUUCAGACACACCAGAAGAGGGCAUCAGAUCCCAUUACAGAUGGUUGUGAGCCACCAUGUGGUUGCUGGGAAUUGAACUCAGGACCUCAGGAAGAGCGGUCAGUGCUCUUAACCACUGAGCCAUCUCUCCAGCCCAAGAUCGUGUUUUAAACAAUCAAAUCAUUCAAAAAAAAAAAAUGAGAAGAACAAAGUUCUGGGGAUGUGCAUUCUGUUCCAUCACUGUGGAAGGCGCUCCAGAUCUUGCACGACUAAAUCUGUCUGUGUUAUUUGGUAUCUUCCUUCCAUGUUAACUCUGGUUUGAGCUUGUGAUUUGCUUGGAUCAACGACGUGUGCUAGGAGUGGAAAUGUACUGGCUUCAAAUAGAAACUUUUGCAUAGCUAGAUGUAAUGGUCUGCAGUUACAAAUAUAAUCCCAGAAUUUGGGAGGUUGAGGCAGGAAGAAUUUGGGGAUUGCUUGGGCUACACAGUGAGAUUUCCCCCUUCUCAAACCAAACCAAACCAAACCAAACCCAAACCAAACCACCAAACCAAACUACCACCACCACCAACAACAACAACACCACCACCAACACAACCAUUGGUCUUGUGCUUUUUCUUUCUCUCUCAAACAUCUUCCCACCGGCACGAGGAAGAAGCCAGUACCUUCUUCAGGGUGAGAGAGUUCGUGGCAUGAGCUCUCCUCCUGAGUCCUUCCCAGAUGUCUUAGUCACUGUGUCCUAAUGCUGUGAAGAGACACGAUGAUCAAGACAGCUAUUGUAAGAGAAAGCAUUUAACUGGGGGCCAGCCCACAGUUUCAGAGGUUUUAUUGCAUUAUCAUCAUGGCAGGAAGCAUGGUGGUGUGCAGGCAGGUGCAGUACCCAUAGCUGAGGGCUACAUCCUGAUCCAUAGGCAGGGAAAGAGGAGGGGGAGAGAGAGAGAGAGACAGAGAGACAGAGACAGAGACAGAGACAGAGACAGAGAGACUGACUAACUCUCUGGGCUUGGCAUGGGUUUUUGAAACCUUAAAAAUCCUACCCCUAGAGACACUUCAAAAAGGUCAUACCUCCUAAUCCUUCUAAUCUUUCAAAUGGUGCCUCUCCCUGGUUGUAAAGUAAUUCUGGCUUUUCUAUGCCUGCUUUAACUCCCAAAUAAAGACACAGAGACCUUAUAUUUAUUAAUAUAAGAGCUCAUUCAAGCUGGGCAGAUAACCAUCUAUUCUAAUCCAUCCAUGCCGGCCUCCUACCAAGCCACGUGCUCCAUUACUUGCCAACUUCGUCUUGCCCUGGCUGCUCUCUUGCUCCACCAGUGUCCUCAUAGCGACUCCCCUGGCAACCUGUUCAUGGAGACUGCUCAUGGGGAAUCUCCCUCUCUCCCCACCAGAGACCCUCUUACUGGGCUUGGAAGUCCUGCCUCUUUGUGAAUCAGUCAGAAGUGACAAUUUUUACACAAUGCUGAGACAAGAGUUGCUUGACAAUGCCAGUGUCCAAACUGCAACUAGAUCUCUGGGCACAGUAAUGAGCGUCUGAAUAAUACACAGUGUACAAAACCUGGUGACAAAGCAUUCAAAUACAUGAGCCUAUGGGGCCAUUGUUAUUCAGACUACCACAUAAGACCUAACAGAAUAAAGCUAGCCCCUUACCUGGAUGAAAUCAACCUAGCCUGAACCAAACCAACAGAAUGAUACAGUCCCAUCUAUACUGGCACAGAGGUUAAUGCUUCCCAUGAUUAGAAAUGUUGUGGGUGCCUGUUGACAGUUCCCUUGGUCUCUUCUGUCUUAAUGAUUGCCUCAGCUGAAGGAGUGCCUACCCACCCUGUUCCUUCCUUGGAGCCAACUGCAUACAGUGACAGGCAGAUGUGUGAUAGCAUAAGAUUCUGACUCCUGGGGUUGGGGAUUUAACUCAGUGGUGGAGCGCUUGCCUAGGAAGCGCAAGGCCCUGGGUUCGGUCCCCAGCUCCGAAAAAAAGAACCAAAAAAAAAAAAAAAUUCUGACUCCUUUGUUCAGAUGAGAGACAGUUGUUCAGUGUCAAAGACCAACUUUGAGAUCCAGGGUAAACUGAGGCGGGGCAUAGAGUGGGCAAUCAACUUGGGUGGUUGGGAAUGCUCCCUAGGGACUGAUAAAGAACUCUUUGGGUGGCACUGAAAAAGGCUGAUGAAAAACUCCUUGGGGGCCUGCCUGGAGAGGCAUGACAGUGCAGGGACCUGUGGUGUGAACCUGACGUGUCUCUGAGCCUUGAUGUGUCCCCAUCUGCCCUCCAGAGAGACCUAAUCCAAGAGAAGGUCCAAUAGUGCCGUUCUCCACAAAGGCUGCUUUCCUAGAACUAGCUGGUGAGGGCUUGUGUGUGUUAGACCUGUGUCACCAUAACGAAGACCCAAGAUAGAGAGCUCAUAAAGAAGGCAAGUUCAUUUCGGCUCACAGUUUCGUAGGGCUCACAGGUUUGUAGGUUUUAACGCACUGGUUGACCCUGUUGCUUUGGGGCUUGUGGCAACCUAGUGUAUCAUGGUGAGAGUGGAUCAAACCAUCCACCUCACAGUGGGGAAGCACAAGAGAAAGAAGGGGAUGGGGCUUGCUCACACAUUGUAAGAGUACCUUUGAGGGACCCAAAGACCUCCUACUAGACCCACCUCUAAGAGUGUCCAUUGCCUCCCAAUAGCACCAAGUGCUGGGUGUGGCUCUAUUGUUUAGGGAAUAAUGGAAAGAAAAAAAGAGUCUGUCCCUGCUUGGUCAUUGCUUUUAUUUUUUGCUCUUGUACGCCAUCUGAGGUUGAAUGUGAGGCCAGGGCAACCACUGAUAACAAAAGAGGAGGGACAGAGACCCUACUGAGAAGGACAAGGACCUCUUUGGAGAAGGCAUGUUACAGGACAGCUUGUUUAGAGGUGGGAUUUUGCCAUUUCAAAGAAAAUCUAAUGUUUCUUGUGCUGAUUAGUUUUUUUUAUUUUAUUUUAUUUUAUUUUAUUUUAUUUUUGUUUUGUUUUGUUUUUUAUAGUCUUGACACAAGUUCAGGUCAUCUGGGAAGGCAGAACUUUAGUUCAGAAAAUUCCUCUAUCAGAUUGACCUGUAGAGAGAAUUUUUUUUUUUUUUUUGGUUCUUUUUUUCGGAGCUGGGGACUGAACCCAGGGCCUUGCGCUUCCUAGGUAAGCGCUCUACCACUGAGCUAAAUCCCCAGCCCCGAGAGAAUAUUUUUUAAUGACUGAUGUGAGAGGGCCCAGCCCACUAUGGUUGGCACAAUCCUGGGAAGGUGGUCCUGGGUGUAUAAGAAGGGUAGCUGGGGAGUUGGGGAUUUAGCUCAGUGGUAGAGCGCUUGCCUAGCAACCGCAAGGCCCUGGGUUCAGUCCCCAGCUCCGAAAAAAAGAAAAAAGAAAAAAAAAAAAAAAAAAAAAAAAAAGAAGGGUAGCUGGGCAGGCCAGACAGCAGCAUGUUUCUCUGGUCUCUGCCUCAAUUCCUGUCUCCUGGAUCCUGCCUUGAGUUUCUGCCCUUCAUGAAGGACUGAGAGCCUCAAGAUUAAAUAAACCCUCCCCUCCCCAGUUGCUCUGGCCAUGGUGUUUGCAUCACAACAACAGAAAGAAAACUGGGGUGGGGUGGGGGGAGCAUGUCUGUACCUCCGUAUCUUCAAAGCAAUUGUGUUGACUUUGCGCAGUUACAGGAGGGCCAGAUGAGUUAACAUCUGGAUGCUCUUAGAGUGUUACUGUUGUUAUUUAAGUCUCAGAUAUUAAUACCAGAUAUCAGUUGUUAAUAAUAUCAGAAUAUCGGCUGCACCCGUGGGGAAAGAGCACACCAAACCAACACCAACACGGUUCCACGUGUUGAGAUUUUAAUGCGGGAAUGAGACAAGGGGAAAGGGCGAGAGAAAGAAGAGAAAAAGAGGCCUAGGGGACAGGGCACCUGCCUCUUAUUUGGAAUGUGGCAUAAAGGUUCCCAGGUGGAGGUGCAAACUGAGCCAAAAGGUCUUCUGGGAAUGUAUGGCCGUUGCCAUGGCAACAGUGACCAAAAGGGUAUCACUGCUAAAGGCAAUUCCUGAUAUCAACAGUUACCCCCAUGCAUUUGCAGCUCAGUUGAUGAUCGUGACUUCAGUUGCAUACAACUGUGAAUAACAUUAUUGACAAACAUUAUAUUGACAGAGAGACAGACACACAGACACAGACACACACACACACACACACACACAGAGAGAGAGAGAGAGAGAGAGAGAGAGAGAGAGAGAGAGAGAGAGAGAGAACAAAGCAAGCAUGGAGCCCCUCAC